UUUAUUUGUUUUUUUUUGGAAGGGGAUUGUUCUUGGAUGAGAGGGCGGCCGGGUGGGUUAAGGCGGGGGUACCCUCCCUUUUAUUGGGGGAUUACAAGUUGAAAAGGACUGUAAUUCCGGCAUUAGCGCCCCGUGUUGCAAGCCACGGGUGGAAAAAAUUCCGUUGUUUAGGAUUGACCCCGCGUCUGAUUAGCUAGUUGUUGGGUAACAGCCUACCAGGGCGACGAUCAGUAGCCGACCUGAGAGGGUGACCGCCCACAUUGGGACUGAGACACGGCCCAAACUCNUACGNGAGGCAGCAGUGGGGAAUAUUGCACAAUGGGGGAAACCCUGAUGCAGCGACGCCGCGUGAGCGAAGAAGUAUUUCGGUAUGUAAAGCUCUAUCAGCAGGGAAGAAUAAAUGACGGUACCUGACUAAGAAGCACCGGCUAAAUACGUGCCAGCAGCCGCGGUAAUACGUAUGGUGCAAGCGUUAUCCGGAUUUACUGGGUGUAAAGGGAGCGCAGGCGGUUCGGCAAGUCUGAUGUGAAAGCCCGGGGCUCAACCCCGGUACUGCAUUGGAAACUGUCGAACUAGAGUGUCGGAGGGGUAAGUGGAAUUCCUAGUGUAGCGGUGAAAUGCGUAGAUAUUAGGAGGAACACCAGUGGCGAAGGCGACUUACUGGACGAUAACUGACGCUGAGGCUCGAAAGCGUGGGGAGCAAACAGGAUUAGAUACCCUGGUAGUCCACGCUGUAAACGAUGAAUACUAGCUGUUGGGGAGCACUGCUCUUCAGUGGCGCAGCAAACGCA
rnacentral:rRNA from 1 species